rnacentral:rRNA from 1 species
UUAAGCGACUAAGCGUACACGGUGGAUGCCCUGGCAGUCAGAGGCGAUGAAGGACGUGCUAAUCUGCGAUAAGCGUCGGUGAGGUGAUAUGAACCGUUAUAACCGGCGAUUUCCGAAUGGGGAAACCCAGUGUGUUUCGACACACUAUCAUUAACUGAAUCCAUAGGUUAAUGAGGCGAACCGGGGGAACUGAAACAUCUAAGUACCCCGAGGAAAAGAAAUCAACCGAGAUUCCCCCAGUAGCGGCGAGCGAACGGGGAGGAGCCCAGAGCCUGAAUCAGUGUGUGUGUUAGUGGAAGCGUCUGGAAAGGCGCGCGAUACAGGGUGACAGCCCCGUACACAAAAAUGCACAUACUGUGAGCUCGAUGAGUAGGGCGGGACACGUGGUAUCCUGUCUGAAUAUGGGGGGACCAUCCUCCAAGGCUAAAUACUCCUGACUGACCGAUAGUGAACCAGUACCGUGAGGGAAAGGCGAAAAGAACCCCGGCGAGGGGAGUGAAAAAGAACCUGAAACCGUGUACGUACAAGCAGUGGGAGCCUCUUAAUGGGGUGACUGCGUACCUUUUGUAUAAUGGGUCAGCGACUUAUAUUCUGUAGCAAGGUUAACCGAAUAGGGGAGCCGAAGGGAAACCGAGUCUUAACUGGGCGUUAAGUUGCAGGGUAUAGACCCGAAACCCGGUGAUCUAGCCAUGGGCAGGUUGAAGGUUGGGUAACACUAACUGGAGGACCGAACCGACUAAUGUUGAAAAAUUAGCGGAUGACUUGUGGCUGGGGGUGAAAGGCCAAUCAAACCGGGAGAUAGCUGGUUCUCCCCGAAAGCUAUUUAGGUAGCGCCUCGUGAAUUCAUCUCCGGGGGUAGAGCACUGUUUCGGCAAGGGGGUCAUCCCGACUUACCAACCCGAUGCAAACUGCGAAUACCGGAGAAUGUUAUCACGGGAGACACACGGCGGGUGCUAACGUCCGUCGUGAAGAGGGAAACAACCCAGACCGCCAGCUAAGGUCCCAAAGUCAUGGUUAAGUGGGAAACGAUGUGGGAAGGCCCAGACAGCCAGGAUGUUGGCUUAGAAGCAGCCAUCAUUUAAAGAAAGCGUAAUAGCUCACUGGUCGAGUCGGCCUGCGCGGAAGAUGUAACGGGGCUAAACCAUGCACCGAAGCUGCGGCAGCGACGCUUAUGCGUUGUUGGGUAGGGGAGCGUUCUGUAAGCCUGUGAAGGUGUACUGUGAGGUAUGCUGGAGGUAUCAGAAGUGCGAAUGCUGACAUAAGUAACGAUAAAGCGGGUGAAAAGCCCGCUCGCCGGAAGACCAAGGGUUCCUGUCCAACGUUAAUCGGGGCAGGGUGAGUCGACCCCUAAGGCGAGGCCGAAAGGCGUAGUCGAUGGGAAACAGGUUAAUAUUCCUGUACUUGGUGUUACUGCGAAGGGGGGACGGAGAAGGCUAUGUUGGCCGGGCGACGGUUGUCCCGGUUUAAGCGUGUAGGCUGGUUUUCCAGGCAAAUCCGGAAAAUCAAGGCUGAGGCGUGAUGACGAGGUACUACGGUGCUGAAGCAACAAAUGCCCUGCUUCCAGGAAAAGCCUCUAAGCAUCAGGUAACAUCAAAUCGUACCCCAAACCGACACAGGUGGUCAGGUAGAGAAUACCAAGGCGCUUGAGAGAACUCGGGUGAAGGAACUAGGCAAAAUGGUGCCGUAACUUCGGGAGAAGGCACGCUGAUAUGUAGGUGAAGCGACUUGCUCGUGGAGCUGAAAUCAGUCGAAGAUACCAGCUGGCUGCAACUGUUUAUUAAAAACACAGCACUGUGCAAACACGAAAGUGGACGUAUACGGUGUGACGCCUGCCCGGUGCCGGAAGGUUAAUUGAUGGGGUUAGCGGUAACGCGAAGCUCUUGAUCGAAGCCCCGGUAAACGGCGGCCGUAACUAUAACGGUCCUAAGGUAGCGAAAUUCCUUGUCGGGUAAGUUCCGACCUGCACGAAUGGCGUAAUGAUGGCCAGGCUGUCUCCACCCGAGACUCAGUGAAAUUGAACUCGCUGUGAAGAUGCAGUGUACCCGCGGCAAGACGGAAAGACCCCGUGAACCUUUACUAUAGCUUGACACUGAACAUUGAGCCUUGAUGUGUAGGAUAGGUGGGAGGCUUUGAAGUGUGGACGCCAGUCUGCAUGGAGCCGACCUUGAAAUACCACCCUUUAAUGUUUGAUGUUCUAACGUGGGCCCCUUACCGGGGUUGCGGACAGUGUCUGGUGGGUAGUUUGACUGGGGCGGUCUCCUCCUAAAGAGUAACGGAGGAGCACGAAGGUUGGCUAAUCCUGGUCGGACAUCAGGAGGUUAGUGCAAUGGCAUAAGCCAGCUUGACUGCGAGCGUGACGGCGCGAGCAGGUGCGAAAGCAGGUCAUAGUGAUCCGGUGGUUCUGAAUGGAAGGGCCAUCGCUCAACGGAUAAAAGGUACUCCGGGGAUAACAGGCUGAUACCGCCCAAGAGUUCAUAUCGACGGCGGUGUUUGGCACCUCGAUGUCGGCUCAUCACAUCCUGGGGCUGAAGUAGGUCCCAAGGGUAUGGCUGUUCGCCAUUUAAAGUGGUACGCGAGCUGGGUUUAGAACGUCGUGAGACAGUUCGGUCCCUAUCUGCCGUGGGCGCUGGAGAACUGAGGGGGGCUGCUCCUAGUACGAGAGGACCGGAGUGGACGCAUCACUGGUGUUCGGGUUGUCAUGCCAAUGGCACUGCCCGGUAGCUAAAUGCGGAAGAGAUAAGUGCUGAAAGCAUCUAAGCACGAAACUUGCCCCGAGAUGAGUUCUCCCUGACUCCUUGAGAGUCCUGAAGGAACGUUGAAGACGACGACGUUGAUAGGCCGGGUGUGUAAGCGCAGCGAUGCGUUGAGCUAACCGGUACUAAUGAACCGUGAGGCUUAACCUU